rnacentral:lncRNA from 1 species
GGCCUUGAAGCAUAAAGCACAGGUUAAGAGGGCCCAUCCAUCUUGGGAGAUGUUGUCUAAACACGCAGCAAGGAUGGUCAGGGGGAAGAACAAUUGCUUCAAACCCAGUUUUUGAACAUCCCUUUCCCUCUAUUGAUUAGAAAUGUAUCGCAUGAGGCUGGACUACAACUCAGCGACAGAAUGUCAGCCAGCAAGUUCAAGCUGUAGGCUCGUUCCACGGUACUAGGGGUGAGCUCUCCAUCUAGCCCUGAGGCCGACACCCUAAACUUCUGGGACCCCAGGAAUGUGGGAUUCAGAGAGGCCAGUUCGGCUGGAGACAGUUCCACACCAAGGAUGCUUUUCCCAAGGACACAGUCCCUAUCUUCUAGGUGCCUGGACUCCACACGUGCCGAGUGCUCCUGAAAUGAAGUUCUAGAACCUACAGCCACUGGACAGGUCUCUAGUGGAAAAGCAAUGCCUGUGAGUUUGCUUGGGCUGGCCUUGAACUCACUAUAUAGUUAAGUAUGAUCAUGAACCUCUCAUCCUCCUGCCUCAGGCUCCUGAGUGUUGGGAUAACUGGUGUGUUUCCUAAAAGCAAGACUAUUUCUUUACAGACUCCGGCAUACGUUCAGAGCAUGAAACUUGACCCUGAUUGCAUCCUGUUACUUGACUUGUAAACCUCACUCUGUUUGUGCCUGCCCAUCAAUGCCUUCUUAGUAAAGGAAAACCCUAGCACCAUGGCUGCCUCUCUCAGGCCCCUCUGAGAGGAGGCUGCCCCUGAGUCUUUGUAUUUUGUCUUUCAAGAAACACAUGUUGGAUGCUUUGUAAAAUGUCAAAGAUCCCAUUGAAAAUAAAUUUAUUUUUAUUUUA